CCUACGGGAGGCAGCAGUGGGGAAUAUUGCGCAAUGGGGGAAACCCUGACGCAGCGACGCCGCGUGAGCGAAGAAGGCCUUAGGGUUGUAAAGCUCUGUUUUAAGGGACGAAUGUCUAGAUCAGUAAUAUGGGUUUAGAAUGACGGUACCUUAAGAGGAAGCCCCGGCUAACUACGUGCCAGCAGCCGCGGUAAGACGUAGGGGGCGAGCGUUGUCCGGAAUUACUGGGCGUAAAGAGCACGUAGGCGGGAACUUAAGUCAGGUGUGAAAGACCGGGGCUCAACUCCGGGGUGGCACUUGAAACUGGGUUUCUUGAGGGCAGGAGAGGAAAGCAGAAUUCCUGGUGUAGCGGUGAAAUGCGUAGAAAUCAGGAGGAAUACCAGUGGCGAAGGCGGCUUUCUGGACUGACCCUGACGCUGAGGUGCGAAAGCGUGGGUAGCAAACAGGAUUAGAUACCCGGGUAGUC
rnacentral:rRNA from 1 species